rnacentral:rRNA from 1 species
GACGAACGCUGGCGGCGUGCUUAACACAUGCAAGUCGAACGGAAAGGCCCUUCUUUUGUGGCGUGCUCCAGUCGCGAACGUGUGACUUACACGUGCGUAACCUGCCCUUGACUUUGGGAUAACUUCAGGAAACUGGGGCUAAUACCGGAUCGGAUCUCCUGCUGCUUGGUGUGGGUUGGAUAUUUUCGGCGGUUGGGGUUGGGCUCGCGGCUUAUCAGCUUGUUGGUGGGGUAGUGGCUUACCAAGGCUUGGACGGGUAGCCGGACUGAGAGGGUGACCGGCCACAUUGGGACUGAGAUACGGCCCAGACUCCUACGGGAGGCAGCAGUGGGGAAUAUUGCACAAUGGGCGGAAGCCUGAUGCAGCAACGCCGCGUGCGGGAUGACGGCCUUCGGGUUGUAAACCGCUUUCGCCUGUGACGAAGCGUGAGUGACGGUAAUGGGAAAAGAAGCACCGGCUAACUACGUG